CCCAGUACUGAUGGGCAAGACUGCUGCAUGGUUCUCACCCCUGCAGGUGGAUUUAAAAUCAUAUCUGACCAAUACAGAACAUCCCCCAAGAAAGCAGGCUGCUUUGUAAAGUCAUUUAGUUUAUCUGUGCCUCAGUGGAUAGUUCUGUCGUCCAGCUUCAUCCUGCUCAGAAAGACAGAAGAGCAAGAGACUCCUCCCGGUCCCCAUGUCACUGGCAACGGGAGAUCAUCGCCCCAUCGUCUCUGAGUUUGCUCUUGUGAAGCUCCCACUGCAGCAGAAUUGUGAAGCUUUUGACCUUGUCCCUUGGUGGCUUCAGGUGCAAUCUGGUACAGCAUUUGCCUGUUGA